ACAUUCUGUGUCAAAAUAUAAAUUACUCUGCGACCAAGCCACCCCAAAUCUGUGUUGGUCUGUCAGCUCAAAUGGAGCCACUUGUGGUAUGUGUGGAGAAUGAAGUGUGCAGACCAGCCGAUCUUCUCUACAGAGCAGGCUAGAAGCCAUACGUCCAGGAUGUACUGCUGAGCGCUUGGUGGAAGUCAGUGCAAGAGAGACACAAAAAUACUUCCUGAAUCCAGAGGCGCGAAUUUUCGUGAGUGCACUCAGCGAGACAGGUCCACAUCCUGUGGACCUUUAUCCCACAUCCACCUUGAAUCCAUGGGCACCGGUGUUCCACGGGUAGAGUAUAAUUGUGUUCAAUGCAUCAUUGAUAGUUGCUCGUCAAACUGUACCCA